UGGGAGGGACCGGUGAUGCAAAAGUCAUCUAAAAAUUGGGGCGGGGAAAGGCGGCUACAGUUAAAAAAGCGAAGACAGCUGCAGAAGUUGCAGCAAAAACUUUGCGAGAUCAGGCGAGUGUUUAUCCCAGAGAGAAGGAUCAAGUGCCACGGCGGCAGGGUUUUUCUUUCUCUGAUUCUGGAAGGUGCUAGACAAAAACAUGGAACUAAUUUUCCCACCAGUGAUUAUAAUCCUAGGUUGUAUUGCUCUUUUGUUACUCCUUCAGUGGAAGAACUUGCGUGGACCCCCGUGCAUAAGGGGCUGGAUUCCUUGGAUUGGAGCUGCAUUUGACUUUGGGAAAGCCCCUCUAGAAUUUAUAGAGAAAGCAAGAUUCAAGUAUGGACCAGUAUUUACAGUUUUUGCUAUGGGAACUCGAAUGACCUUUGUUACUGAAGAAGAGGGCAUUAAUGUGUUCCUAAAAUCCAAAGAAGUAGAUUUUGAACUUGCGGUGCAAACUCCGGUCUAUCGCACAGCAUCAAUUCCAAAGAAUAUCUUUUUAGCACUGCAUGAAAAACUUUAUGUCCUGAUGAAAGGGAAAAUAGGGAUUUUCAAUCUAUGUCAAUUCACUGAACAACUAACAGAAGAAUUACAUGAACAGCUCAAGAACCUAGGCACUCAUGGUUCAAGGGACCUGAACAUCUUAGUAAGGCAUCUCCUUUAUCCAGUCAGUGUGAAUAUCCUCUUUAAAAAAGGUUUGUUUCCCACAAACAAGAGGCAAAUCAUGGAGUUCCAUCAGCAUUUUCAAGUUUAUGAUGAAGGCUUUGAGCAUGGAUCCCAGAUGCCAGAAUGUUUUCUAAGAAACUGGUCAAAAUCCAAAAGGUGGUUUCUAGCAUUUUUUGAGAAAAACAUUCCAGAUAUAAAAACAUACAAAUCUGAAAAAGAUAAUUCCAUGACACUAAUGCAGGCUUUGCUGGAUGUCAUAGAGACAGAAACAAAUGAGCAAAGUCCAAAUUACGGGCUUCUACUACUUUGGGCUUCUUUGUCCAAUGCUGUCCCUAUUGUAUUUUGGACACUUGGAUUUGUCCUCUCUCAACCCAAUAUCCACAAGACCAUUAUGGAAGGCAUAUCAUCUGUGUUUGGCAUACCAGGUAAAGAUAAGAUUAAAGUGUCUGAGGAUGACUUGAAGAAACUCCCUCUAAUUAAAUGGUGUAUUUUGGAAACCAUUCGUUUAAGAGCCCCAGGUGCCAUUACUAGAAAAGUGAUGAAACCAGUUAAAAUUCUGAAUUAUACUGUUCCUUCUGGCGACUUGUUGAUGUUGUCUCCAUUUUGGCUACAUAGAAAUCCAAAGUAUUUUCCUGAACCUGAAUUGUUCAAACCUGAACGUUGGAAAGAAGCAAAUUUAGAGAAGCAUGCUUUCUUGGACUACUUCGUGGCAUUUGGAAGCGGGAAGUACCAAUGUCCUGGAAGUGCAAUAGGUGCUAUGGCUGAGAUGUGCACAAGGAGCCACAGAAAUGGAGAGGAAGGGCACCUCAGCCCAGAGGCAAGUGAUCAGGGACUGCCUCUGAGUGAGACUGAGCCCCAUACAGGAAAAAGGCUUGUGACAGAGAGCAUCACUAUUCAGGAACCAUCAGGUGCACAGUGUGACAAGAGCAUGGGAUUCAAAGAGCAACUAUUGGAUGGCUUGCUCUGUUAGAGAUUGAAAUAUGUAUUAUUUUAUUAUUUUAUUAUUAUGACUGUAGUCUUCUAGAUCCACUGCCAAAACAGCGUUCUCUCCAUUUGCUGGGUGUCCAGCAGCCAGAAGGACAAUGCCGAAUUGAAUAUAAACAGAGAAAAUGACCCCUGGGCUAAGGAGAGCCAGGCCUUCUGGAGGAGUAACUGCCCCUCAUCCACUAGCCUGGCAGCACCUAGGCCUGAGCACGACCAAAACAGGCUGCUGAACUUUGCUUUAGUAUUUAGUUCCAGAAGAUGUCCACAUGGUGCCUAUGUUUGGAAUCUCAAGGGUAGACCAAGAAUCUGACAUCACUCUCACUGAUAGAAAAACUUGAAUAUGUGGUUUACAGAAAAUAUUAACUGAUCAAGAGCAAGAGGCAUUUCUUAAGAAGUUGGAAUUUGGUUCAUGCAAAACCAUAUUUUAACUUUACAUAGAAAUAAUGCCAUUUGAAUGAAAACUUUAAUACAUUAAUUCUGUGAAGACAAUGUACUUAAAUUUCUGUUUUUGGAAAGACUAGCAUCAAAAAAUAUUCAGUGGGGAUUUCUGGAAACUGUCUAUUUUUCUUAAUAUAAUUCUUAAUUAGCAAUUGGAAUUAUUAAGCUCUAUUAAUAUAAUUCUUUAUUGUAAACAGGUCUAAUGUUCAAAGUAUAGCUUUCUAAGACCUAUGAAGACAGGAAACAUGUCUCACAGUCGUUUCUACACUCAGCUGCAUCGAGGACAGCACCUGUCUAUAAGGCAUGUUUAAUAAAUGUAUGUAGAUUGAUAUAUUGAUUUGUAUUUUAAUUAAGAUGAAAGCACUCUUUUAACGCAAGGUGUUUGUAAUGACAGUUUAAGAUGACAUCUUUGCUAAUGUGUGGGAAUACAAUGAUGUGUCAAGACGAAUAGCAACGUUUGACUCUGUUACUUGCCUUAUGCUUGAAAUAUUUACUGCGAGACCCAGAAAAGAAAUUGUGUCAUGUUCAGGGGAGGUAUAUCACAAUAAUAACAGAGUGAUCAGUGAUGUCAUGGUUUGUCCUCUAAUAUGCAAUAAAACGCUGCUUGCCUCCUUUAUUUCACAAUAAGUAAGCUUUGUAGUGAGUGCAUGUUGUCCUCUGGAUUAUUUGCUCCCUGUGCUAGAAUUAUCUCAUGGGGCUGGCAAUGAUUGCUUAGUCAUGUAUUUCCUACCAACGAGCUGAUGACUCCCUAGGAGAAAAUUAAGUACUUUGGAGUAUAUUAACUCUUCCAGACUAAUAAUGAUUUUGAAGCUUAGCUAGCAGCUUGUAGCUCAACUUAGCAGGUGUAGGGGUCUGGAGACCAAAGGGGCUGAAGAAAAGUGCAGAAGUCCACAGCAGAUCUGAGAGUUGUAGACUAUAAUCUGGCAAACUCCACUAACUAUGGCAGGUGUGUUCCCAGGGCAGGGUCACAGUAAAACACUGUAUUUGCAGAUGAUACACACUUCAGCUGAAUUUGCAACCACUCAGGGCUAUGUUUCUAUCAUUAUUGCUUGGUCAGGAUGAAUGUUAGCUGACAAGUUCAUGCACUAUAAAAAGAAUGUAACACCAUUUGGUUCUGUAAUUCUGUCAGUAAGUACAUGAACUCUUUUGUUCCAGGCUGCCAAAUAUAGAUGAAGAUAUAA